rnacentral:rRNA from 1 species
AAUUGACGGGGGCCCGCACAAGCGGUGGAGCAUGUGGUUUUAAUUCGAAGCAACGCGCAGAACCUUACCAGCCCUUGACAUACCGGUCGCGGACACAGAGAUGUGUCUUUCAGUUCGGCUGGACCCGGAUACAGGUGCUGCAUGGCUGUCGUCAGCUCGUGCCGUGAGAUGUUGGGUUAAGUCCCGCAACGAGCGCAACCCUCGCCCUUAGUUGCCAGCAUUUAGUUGGGCACUCGUAAGGGGACUGCCGGUGAUAAGCCGAGAGGAAGGUGGGGAUGACGUCAAGUCCUCAUGGCCCUUACGGGCUGGGCUACACACGUGCUACAAUGGUGGUGACAGUGGGCAGCGAGCACGCGAGUGUGAGCUAAUCUCCAAAAGCCAUCUCAGUUCGGAUUGCACUCUGCAACUCGAGUGCAUGAAGUUGGAAUCGCUAGUAAUCGCGGAUCAGCAUGCCGCGGUGAAUACGUUCCCGGGCCUU